rnacentral:rRNA from 1 species
GAAUUCGCCCUUAGAGUUUGAUCCUGGCUCAGGACGAACGCUGGCGGCGCGCCUAACACAUGCAAGUCGAACGGAGCAUUGAGAGCUUGCUUUUAAUGCUUAGUGGCGAACGGGUGAGUAACGCGUGAGUAACCUGCCCUGGAGUGGGGGACAACAGUUGGAAACGACUGCUAAUACCGCAUAAGCCCACGAUCCGGCAUCGGAUUGAGGGAAAAGGAUUUAUUCGCUUCAGGAUGGACUCGCGUCCAAUUAGCUAGUUGGUGAGGUAACGGCCCACCAAGGCGACGAUUGGUAGCCGGACUGAGAGGUUGAACGGCCACAUUGGGACUGAGACACGGCCCAGACUCCUACGGGAGGCAGCAGUGGGGGAUAUUGCACAAUGGGGGAAACCCUGAUGCAGCGACGCCGCGUGGAGGAAGAAGGUUUUCGGAUUGUAAACUCCUGUCGUUAGGGACGAUAAUGACGGUACCUAACAAGAAAGCACCGGCUAACUACGUGCCAGCAGCCGCGGUAAAACGUAGGGUGCAAGCGUUGUCCGGAAUUACUGGGUGUAAAGGGAGCGCAGGCGGACCGGCAAGUUGGAAGUGAAAACUAUGGGCUCAACCCAUAAAUUGCUUUCAAAACUGCUGGCCUUGAGUAGUGCAGAGGUAGGUGGAAUUCCCGGUGUAGCGGUGGAAUGCGUAGAUAUCGGGAGGAACACCAGUGGCGAAGGCGACCUACUGGGCACCAACUGACGCUGAGGCUCGAAAGCAUGGGUAGCAAACAGGAUUAGAUACCCUGGUAGUCCAUGCCGUAAACGAUGAUUACUAGGUGUUGGAGGAUUGACCCCUUCGUGCCGCAGUUAACACAAUAAG